ACUUUCAACAACGAAUCUCUUGGUUCCGGCAUCGAUGAAGAACGCAGCGAAAUGCGAUAAGUAAUGUGAAUUGCAGAAUUCCGUGAAUCAUCGAAUCUUUGAACGCACAUUGCGCCCCCUGGCAUU
rnacentral:rRNA from 1 species